GGAUGUGAGGGGGGAUCUGGCUGCAACAUCUGUAACCCCAUUGAUCACCAGGGUUGAUUCAGCUGAUCUGACUGGCUAGGCGGGUGUCCCCUUCCUCCCUCAACGCUCCAAGUGCAUCGGUCCUGAAGCUGCACACUUGGUCAAAGAGGACGACCACCCCCGAUAGAGGAGGACCGUUCCUUGAUCAAGGGUAUAGAGUCGCUGCACUCCCCUGCUAGAACGUCCAAAGAAGCUCUCAAGGAAUUCACACAGGUGUCUUACUUCUGCUCCACUGUUUCUGGGGUUUCAGUUGUAGGGGCUCUCGAAAAGCUGGGGGUUGGAGGACCCCAUUCUAGACUUU
rnacentral:snRNA from 1 species